ACGUAGGUCCCGAGCGUUGUCCGGAUUUAUUGGGCGUAAAGCGAGCGCAGGCGGUUAGAUAAGUCUGAAGUUAAAGGCAGUGGCUCAACCAUUGUAGGCUUUGGAAACUGUUUAACUUGAGUGCAGAAGGGGAGAGUGGAAUUCCAUGUGUAGCGGUGAAAUGCGUAGAUAUAUGGAGGAACACCGGUGGCGAAAGCGGCUCUCUGGUCUGUAACUGACGCUGAGGCUCGAAAGCGUGGGGAGCGAACAG
rnacentral:rRNA from 1 species